AAAUAAGGAAGCUAGAUUUCACUAUAAUACCUUUUUAACAUAUGCUACGAAAAUUCAAAAUGAUUAUCUUGGCAUGUAAGGCCCAAUAAUAUUCGUUAGCCCACUUACAUUCUUAUCGUAGGAAGUUUUCCCGCAAGUAGCGUAGGUUUCCUAACUGCAGUAAUUACAGAGAAUCAAUCAUAUAAUUCUUUUUGAGAAAGAAUCAAUCGUAUAAUUCUUUUUUUUGGUAAAAUCAAUCAUCAAUCAUAUAAAUAGAGCGCAUAUAAUUGACAUGUACAGAAUAUGGUAAUAACAAUAUUCCUUGACAGCUCAUAUGACUUUCAGGUCACUGCAUGUGAUUAAAUUAUGAUUUGAACAAUAUAUUUUCUUUGACCAAAUUUACAAAAUAACUUAAUUGGUCAAAUAUAUAAUAGAUAUCCUUAAUUUACAUGUAUCGAUAUGGAAGAUCAAUAAAUAAAAUAAAACAGAAAUGGAAAUUUGUGAUUUCCCAAGACUAAAAGUUAUAUAAAUAGAGCUUUUCUGCAAGACAUGAAAAGUCAAAAAUAUGGCAAACACACAAAAUUUGGUGGGUUUUUUUCUUGUUGUGAUAUUAGCAGCUUCAAUGUUUAACACCAACAUUUUGGUUUCAGGUGGGAAGCACGAGGAUAAAAUCAAGUAUACUUACUGCACUGACACUUUAUGCUCGGACAGCUACUUACCUCAUAUGUGCUUUUUUGAUUGUACUAGUAAAAGGUUUCAAACCGGAACUUGUAUAGUUCCUUCUCCUAAUGCUCCCUUAAGAUGUUGUUGUGGUAACUUGUAGCCAAUCCAUCAUCUACUUAAUAAUAUAAUAAAAUGAUUUAAGAGCUUCAUUUAUACUUUUGUAAGUUGGCAUGAUUACCAAUGACUGCAAAAUACUACUUUAUUAUAAUGCAUACAUUAAAUUAGUCAACGAAAAUACAACUUGUUCUCGUUUGAAUCUUCUACAACACACACACACACACACACACACACACAAACGAGCAUCAUGUAUGUCCGUACAUCUUAUACAAAACGGAUUGAAGUAGGAAAUUGCAAACACAUAUGUUUAUAUUACUUGUGCCACUUGAUUUUGAUGAUGGAGAUGACGUGAUAUUUACAAUACCAAGGUUUGUUCUUGCUUUAAGAUCUAAAAUCCUUAUAACUUUUAAGACUUUAUCCAUGGUUUAUGUAUGUUUUUGUUUUGUUGGGUUCAAAUCUGCGGAAGUUCAUGAAUCUUGAGACGGUGCCUAGGAAAAGAGCAGUGGUUUUGGAUUAGAUUGAAAAACUUACUUAACUUUCUCCAUGUUUAAUUACUAUUCACUUGAUUCUAUAGUAGUUCUUUGUUCAAUGUCUAUCAAGCUCUUCUUCUUGCGUACAUAUGAGCUGAAGUAAACGUUGGCCUUUGUGUCAUCUCUCAGCAGGCUUCUUAACAUCAAUCAUGUGAUCUGAUAUAGUUUUUUUGAAGUAUUACAGAUUUGUCAAUUUUAUUAAUAAGAUCCCACCAACAAAAUUUAAAUCAAACACACACAAAUUCAAAUUCAAUUUCUGAAACACAGUGAUUUAAGUCACUUCCGAUCUAAAGGGUUGAAAUGAUCCGAUCGAAUGUAUCAACAAACUACUCAUUUGUAAAGGUUGGUGAGAAGAGGAACGAGUGUGGGGAAAGGUACGAUGCUGGAAACCGCAGUGUUCUAUAUAAAAACAGAAGAGUUACCAAUGAUAAUGCAGAUGCAAGAGAAGAUUCUCAAACCAGAAAGCAAGUCUAUGUGGUUGAUCUUUCUACUGAAGACCCAAUGUCAAAAUUCAUAAAACCCGAAUCUGAAGAUGGAUAGGAAUCAAUAUGCUGGAGAAAAACUGUGAAGAUGUUAUUGACAAGGGUGUAAACAAUAACAGGAGAGGAUUCAAUGGUAUUGGAAGGCAAAAAGAGUCAUAGGGAGCUCAGGACAUCUGAAGAAACAUAUUCCAAAGUCAAAAAUUCCCAGAUUAUUUCAUCAGAUUUCUGCUUCCCGUAUAAGUAAGGAGAUACAAAAAGAUUUGAAAGAGCUUUUUGAAGUUGAUUUUAGAGCAUUACCUACAAACAUGAGGAUGCUAAAUAACAAGAGACUUUGUUUGCUUUUUACGUACAAACAUGAAUACUCAUCAUCAAGCGGUUUGCAAACUAUGUACACCAGUGCCUGAACCUAAGCUCACUGUCUAAGCCUCAUCCUCUACUGCUUGAUCAUAUGAGGACAGUUUGACCUGGUUCAUGUUCCGAACAAAGACUGUGAAAGCAUCGUACCUGUCAUGUCCAUUAGAUCUGUAGAAUCCAGCUGUUAACUCAGCUUGGUGUAAGAGAGGUAGCACACACCACUUCCGCUGAAUGCUGAUGAAGCAACGGAGAGGACACGGUCUGCAUGGGAGGUGAGAAGAGACGAGUACCAAGUCCACCGGCUGAGAAGAACGAAGUGGAAUGAGGCUGGCAGGAGCAUCGUGUGGUCCACCAAGUCCCCAAAGAGGGUUCCCACCAGAGAGAUUCGUCUCGAGUUGGUGAGAAGGAUACCUUAGCUGAGCUCCCCGUCUGGUCCCAUACCGCUAAUGUGAUUCCCUGUAAACACACAUGAUCUAAAAUCAGAAACUGAAACCAGAGUGGAGUAGACAUACUGAGAGAAUGAAAGUGCAAAACAAUACCGUGAUUGUGUUACCCAUGUAGUCUGAGAAAGCAGACGCAGAAACCUCCAUAGGAGUCUUCCCAUCAAAAACAGGAGCAUCAUCAACUCCAAACGACAAGCAAUCUUCUUAACAAUCUCCGCCACAGCUAAACCCCGAGCUCCCUGCGUGUUAAUUCUGGUCUGCAGAUUGAAGGACAUCUAUAAAUUGACGGCGUUAAGUCAACGUGCAAUUGAAAACACCGUCAAAGGUAAAAGUAAAGUUAACGGAGAGAUAUUACACGGAUCCCCAGAAUAGUAAAAAGAUUUCACAGUUUCACAAAUCUAAUCCGGGACUCCUCUGAUUCCUCCGGCGAAGGAGAAGACUCAGUCGACGAUUCCGAAAAAUCAGUUUAGCACACCAACCAAAACA